rnacentral:lncRNA from 1 species
CUUUUUUUUUUUUUUUUUUUUUUUUUUUUUUUUUUUUUUUUUUUUUUUUUUUUUUUUUUUUUUUUUUUUUUUUUUUUUUUUUUUUUUUUUUUUUUUUUUUUUUUUUUUUUUUUUUUUUUUUUUUUUUUUUUUUUUUUUUUUUUUUUUUUUUUUUUUUUUUUUUUUUUUUUUUUUUUUUUUUUAUUUUUUUUCUUUUUUUUUUAUUGUCUGUUUUUUUCUUUUAUCCUGUUUUUCUUCCUUUUCAAGAUCUUGAAAAGAGAGAGAAAAUGAGAGAGAGAGAAUGAGAAAGAGAAAACGAGGGAAAGAGAAUGAGAGCAAGAGAGAGAGAGAGGAGGAGAAAUUUUUGGAGUUUUUUUAUUUUUAGUGGCUUUGAUAUUGAAAAUACUAUAUAAAGAAUUUUAGAUGAAAUCAGUCAGUUGAUACAAUUAUUGUUGUUAUGUGCUAUUAUCGUAUGAUAAGCGGGUGGGGCUUUUCUUGUUUUCGUAAACAUCAAGAUUUUAUUGGUUGGGUCUAUGAUUCCAGCCUACAUGAUACUCAAAAGGGCCCUGGUUCAUCUGGAAAUGAAAAGUGCUUUAUGAACGUUUGGAUUGGUGCUUCCUUGACUCGGUUUGGUAACUUCAAUUUCUACCCACCUAUAUCGUGUUAAGUCGGAUCACCGACCUAUUUUCAUGGUUGCGACCAAGCUCAAGAAGUCAAAUCUUCCUCAUACCUUUCGCUUUAUGGCUUCAUGGUUGUCACAUGUUGAGUUUAAGCCUUUUUUUGUCGGAAUGGAAUCGGUCUUUUACCUUUAUUCAUCAGAUGUCCAUUCGAGCUACCAAACUGAAAAAAUGAAAUAAGGAAAUUUUUGGCAACAUCCAAACGAAUAGAAGGAGCUUAUCUUUAAACUUGCUGAUGUUUAAGCUCUCGCAGCUCCUCUACUCAUUCAAGACACCACAAUGGACAUUGCAAGUGACCGGAAUACUCAUUUUUUUCACGUAUCCACCUUCCGUAGGCGUGCUCGGAACCACAUUAUUAAGUGAAGGAUGACUGUGGGGUGUGUAUUCAUUAGGUUUGGGAGUCGGUUAAUUUGGUUAAUAACCAUCGGUUAAUGGUCGGGAAGCGCUUUGAUGAUUGAAAUUAAUUAACCAAAUUAACCGACCGAGCAAAAGCCACGGUUAAUCUUACCGACCGAUAACCGACCAAUCAGUUAAAUGAUCGAUUAUUAACAGACUGACUCUCGGUUAACCGUUGUAACCGGCUCUGACCAAUUUAACUCUCUUCUCAUAUUGCAACAAGAUUCUAGGCUCUGGCUCUAGAUCCGUCGUCGAUUCAAGCCUUGGAGACCAUAGCUUCUCUUCUGGAAACAAUCCGGUGCUCUACAACUUGAUCCUUCGGGACUGGAAGCUUUCCGAGACGGCGUUGUUGCGGAUCAGUAAGGAGAGGAGGAAGCUUCAAGCCUAUGGUGUUGCAGAUCGAAGAAUUGAGAGAGUGGAGGAGGAGAGGAUUGGCCGUGGCGACGAAGGAAGCAUGUGGUGUUGCAGAUCGAAGAAUCGAGAGAGUGGAGGAGGAGAGGAGCGCUUGCGGUGACUCGUCGUGGUCGUCGUCGUGACUGCCGGCGAGAUGCUGAAAUUGAAUCGCUUGGAUUGAUAGAGUUGUCGAGAUGGAUUGAUGGAGUUGUCGAGAUGGAUUGAUGGAGAUGGCUCGGAGUUAACCUAAUUUCAGAAUGAGAGGUUGUGAUGGAGUGGGAGGCUGGGAGGGGAGGGAGCGAUUCUGCGAUUGUGGUGAGCAAAGCUUGAUUUCCUAAUUGGGGACCUUGGUUUUUUUAAUUACCGGUUAACGUUGGUUAACUCGAGUUAACCAACGAUUUUACCCUGCUCCAACAAGUACUCCCAACUGUUCCCCGACCGACCCCUACCUCGGUUAAACCGACACUCUAACCGAGUCGAUCAGUUCAUCUGUUUAACCUAUUAACCGAGACUGAUGGCCCACCCUUAGUAUUCAUCCAGCUUGUUGCUGCAAUUAGUGUCGUAUUGAUAUGGUUGAGAGAGGAUAAAAUAUGCUUGAUUUCAAGUUCUCCAACUUGAAAGGUUUAGCUGUUAAAAAUGUAGAGGUCAUGACUGAGUACUGAUUUCCAGCAAGGAGAAGUUGGAUAUUUGCUUGCGAUAAAAAAGAAUUUGGACAGUCUAUCUUAGGCACAAAAUCUAACGGAUGAGAUGGCAACUUUACUUCAGGGGCCUAUUGGUCAUUUUAAAAUUUUCUUGUUUUUCAGUUUAUUUUUCCAUUCUGUUUAAUAUUGGUUCAAGUAAAAUGAUUUCUUGUAAAUUGGGUCUAUUGAGUAACGUGGGUGGGUAGACUUUAUUGCUCCCAUCGAGCUUGACGUGAUAUUUU